rnacentral:lncRNA from 1 species
AAGAAGAAAUCAGGGACAAGAUUUGGAAGUGAAGGAAGGAUAAUGGAAAAAGCACUGAAAGAGCAAACUAUAAUUAAGAAAAAUGGAAAGGAAGGGGCCAGUGUUAUAAAUAGCGCUCGCCUCAGCACUAACAGCGUGAGGCGAGGCGAGGCGUGGGUUUGUCGCUUCAGAGCUUCUGUUGCGAUGCGAUUUCAAAUAGCGCUAGCUUCAGGGGUUGUGGCGUGAGGCGACUGUUUGCGAGAAGCGACUGUAGCGUUGCUAUUUUAAAAAGAAAAAAGAGAAAGGGAGAAGACUUAAAGUCGG